rnacentral:rRNA from 1 species
GAUGAACGCUAGCGGCAGGCCUAAUACAUGCAAGUCGAACGCUCAGUAGCAAUACUGGGAGUGGCGCACGGGUGCGUAACGCGUACACAAUCUACCUCUAAGCGGGGACACCUCCUGGAACGGGGAUUAAUACCGCAUAAUAUGCCGAAGUCGCAUGACUUUGGUAUUAAAGCAGCAAUGCACUUAGAGAUGAGUGUGCGUCCCAUUAGGUAGUUGGUGAGGUAACGGCUCACCAAGCCUAUGAUGGGUAGCCGGUCUGAGAGGAUGGUCGGCCACACGGGCACUGAGACACGGGCCCGACUCCUACGGGAGGCAGCAGUAAGGAAUAUUGGUCAAAUGGUGGAAACACUGAACCAGCCAUGCCGCGUGGAGGAAUAAGGUCCUACGGAUUGUAAACUACCUUUUGUACGAGGAAGAAAAUAGUUAGAUUUAUCUAAUUUGUACGGUACUCGUAGAAUAAGACACCGGCUAACUCCGUGCCACGCAGCCGCGGUAAU